ACUCGAUCCUUAUCCUCCUAUACAAAAAGAUUGUUUACCCUCCAUCAGACGGUCCAAGCUACAGCGAAGUGCGGCAUCGGCUCCUCCCGCAAGACAGAACCAACCCAACCCCAAAACAACUGGGAGAUGUGGAGCUAGGGGCAAGAAAAAAAAAAACCCAGAAGCUGCCGCGGUGUCAUCGAUGGAUUCGGAGCUGGAAGAGAUGACCCGCAAGCUCGCGUGGCCCGACUUCGCGUGCGCGAGGGACGAUGUCAACUCCUGCGUCACCCUGCUGUCCGAGCCCAAGGUGCAUUUCGGUUCGACUUGCCUAUCGAUCUUUUUAUUUUCACCGGGGGUUUUGAUGGAAUCCUCGAGCAUAGCGGUUCGUUUAUCCGGCGAAGACGAGAUUCUGCUGUAAUGGAGAGGAUUCCAAUGGCGUUUUAGGGAUUUCUCAUUUUCUGAGAUUCUGCUGCUGUGUCAGGUGGUCUGCAGCGCGGGAUGUGACAUUGCACUUAUUUCGUUGUUGUUCAUCCAGCGGCAUGAUUCCUCCCUAACCAGAUGAAUACCCAUUUUUUGGGCCUUAAUCUUGUGAGCAUGUUGGCCAAGAACAAAAUUUUGCUGAAUUCCAUACUGAGCUGGAACUUCUGCCCGCGGAAGUUCUAAACCAUCCUUGCAUCAAAUAUGCAGAUGAGCUUGAGCUAUCCUUUAUGGAAGGUACCUAUAACCAACUGUUCAAUGCUCGACAAGCUGUGCCACACGAGACAUGUCUACUUUACGGACCACCUCGCUGAAACUGUUAGCUGAUUGCAGCGGUUAGGCAUAUGAUUACUGGCCGAUAAGUGACGCAAAGAAAAUGCUAAUGUUGACCUCAGACCAAGAACUUUUCAACUACAUAUCAGAGGGACAACAUGAAUGGGAAAUCAAGAAUGUUUCAGUCCAUUUUCACAUGGCGGAAUCCACACCUCAUCUGAACUUUCCGUCGUUUAAGCUGAUCAAUCAAACUCUUAGCUACGCGCGGGAGCUGGAGCAGGUUGUCUAGUUUGCAACGCAAAGUAGACUCCAGAUGUAGGCAGCGGAAAUGCAACGAUCGACUUAGCUGCUACAAUGUUUCUUGGUUAGGUGGAUCUUUUGUUUGAGGCGACGAUUUGUUGGAAUUUCUGCUUUAAACGCCCCAGAUAACUGCUUCAUAAUCUGAGAAGAAUGUGUUAUGUUCAUGUCAGUUUGGCAAAUGACACUGGCCAGACAAAAAUGUACCCUAAAGUUCCAGUCUGAUGUCUUCCCGAAAGUUCUGUUAUACACGUUUGGAAACUCAGCAUAUUCAUCCUGUGAGCUAUUCUGUUUGGUAUCAAAAUUGUUUAUUUCUUUCUCC